rnacentral:lncRNA from 1 species
AAUUGCUUCACCUUAAUCAAUUGAAUGACUAACCUUCUCAAAAUCACUUCAAUUUCAGUUCCACGUUUGAGAAGACGAAGCUGUGUGCACAAUCAUAUAGUGCAGUUUCUUCGUUCCUCUACUGAUGGCAUUUUCAUGAAGGUCUUCUUGAAUCAUGUAAGAAAAUGGUGCGGAAGCUAUGAAGGUGUGUGUGUAAGAUCCUCCUAAGAGUGGUGUUGAUCUUGAAGGUGCAUGAUAGGUAUGAUUAUAGGGAGGUUCGGCCAGCCCAAGGAGAGGUGAAGGAAGUGAAGUUUAGAGCCUAGAAUUCUAGGAGAAGCAAAGCUUGGCACAAAAUGACAGCAUAACUUUAUUCACAAUAAACUUGAAAAUACAAUGUGUAGGCUCCUCAUUUUAUAGGCUAAGGAGGACCAUAAUGCAACCCUAAUGCUAGCCAAAUGAAAUGUAAAUGUGAAGCACAUGGGUGCACAUGGCACAUGGGUGUACAAAUGAGCACAUGGGGAGGGGUGUGUCUAGUUUUUAUGCUCACCCNNNNNNNNNNNNNNNNNNNNNNNNNNNNNNNNNNNNNNNNNNNNNNNNNNNNNNNNNNNNNNNNNNNNNNNNNNNNNNNNNNNNNNNNNNNNNNNNNNNNGGUAAAUUUAGAGGUUUUUUAGAAACUCUAAGUUUACCUAGGUUGGUGUUUUAGGUGCCAAAAUUAAUUCUAAGAAAAUUACAAAUAAAGUUCCUAUGCUAAUUUUGACAAGAAAUUAAAGUCUACUCUACACUAGAGUUUAUGGCAUUUCAACAUGUAAAAGAACGUCUUGUUGGAUCCUCUUGGCCAUAACUCUAUGGGUGGCCCAAAUCUACCCUUUGGUGGGCUUGCAUGUGGGCUUGUGCUUGGGCCUCUUCCAUCAUCCCCUCCCUCUUGAAAAGGAUUUGUCCUCAAAUCCAUUGCUUCUUNNNNNNNNNNNNNNNNNNNNNNNNNNNNNNNNNNNNNNNNNNNNNNNNNNNNNNNNNNNNNNNNNNNNNNNNNNNNNNNNNNNNNNNNNNNNNNNNNNNNCUCCUUGAGAAGAUCUAUCCUCAGAUCUAGAGAUUUGAUCUCGGAUAGCAGCCUCUUGCUUCUUCAACUAUGCUUGCCCUCCCGGAUCAAACGUCCACCUAGGGGAAUUAUCUAAUAAAGCAAAUGAGUUAGUUGAAGCAGUUAUAUACAAAUCAAUUUUAUGAAGUUGCCAAUUUUGUUUUUCUUUUGUUUUUGGCAACUUUUUACAAUAUUUCUCUUUUGAUGGUUGCAUGUGUUCUCUAAUCCUCUCAUGCUUUGUAAAAUUUUCAAUAGUGGUUACUUGUUCCUUAGGCAUAAUUCCUUUAGGAAGUGGUAACAACGCAAAAAGAGAAAGAGGAUUAUGUUCACAUACAACUUCAAAUGUAGAAAUAUUAGUAGUCUUGUGGACUACUCUAUUGUAUGCAUGCGCAAUAGAAAAAGGAUACUCAUCCCAAGAAUUGUGGUUGGCUUUCAUGAUUUCUCUAUGCAUAGUAACAAGAGCUAUGUUUUCAAUUUUAUUUUGACCAUUCUUUUGAGGAUGAUAAGAAUUUGAAAAGGACAACUUAGUUGCAAGUUUUUCCAAGAGAAUCCUCAAAUGAUGGUUUUCAAAUUUUGGAGCUCUAUCCAACACUAAGUUUGAAGAGAAACCAUGAAGACUUGUCACUUCUUUAAGGAAGAGUUUAUCCAUGUCUAUGACAAUGGAAUCAAAACCUUUUGUUGUCCUAGGAAGAUCUAAUAUGAAAUUUAGGCUUAUGUCUUCCCAAGGAUCAUUUGCAAAAGGUGAAGGAGUAUAGAGUUCAUGAGACAUCGCCUUAGAUGUAUUUUUAAAACACGGAAUGUAUCUAGGGUAAUGUCUUUGAACAUCUUUUCUCAUGGGUGACAAUAAUUUUCCUUUUAAAAGCUCUAGAGUUUUAUCAACUCUAUUUUGACCCAUGAGUUCUCCUUCAUGAAGAAUUUCUCUUUUAUGUGUGAAGGUAGUCUCGUUGAUACAACCUUUGUUCAUGGAAAUUUCAAUUCUUUGCAAAGGUUGUCUCAAUAAGACAUGACAAGUUUCUUUAGGCACUACUUCACAUAAAAAAUUGUCUUUGUAGAUGCCUAUAGAUGACUUGACCUUCACUUGGUGAUAUCUUGGCAUGUAUGUAAAAUAAUCUACUAUAUUUUUAUCUAUGCAAGCCUUUUUUAAGGAUUCUUCUUUUUUUUUCUAGGCUUGCAAGUGUUCCUUUACAAAAGGUAAGGCUAGGUUGUUCAACAAGAGGUAUAUUUUCAAAUGUAUUUUCAACUUUUCCUUCUUGUUGAAUGACCUUGUGGGAAGGAACACUCUUCUCCCACGCCUUUUGUUUUCCAAGGGUUUUCUCUUGCUUUUCUAUUUUUACAUUUUCUUCACUCUCACUAGCUUCUUUUUCUUGGCUACUAUUCUCAUCUUUGUCCCUUAAGAUCAUAGAUCUUUCAUUGAAACAUUGAGAUGCUAAUUGAUCAUUGCCAAGGUAUUCUAAACAUGGAAUUUCUCUAGCUUGAGUGUGAGAGAUAUGCUUGGUUAGGUUUUCUUGUCUCUCUUUCCUAGCUCUCCUAGGGAAUUUGUGAUGAUAUUCAUUUUUUCUUAGACUUUCUUCCCCAAGAUAAUCAUGAUGUUUAGAGCUAGAUGCAUGAGAAUGUAAUUUUUUGAAAAUUGAGACUUCUCAUUCUUUGCUUUAGUCAAUUCAUUAGUUUUGAUCUCAUUCUCCAAUUAUUUAGAUGAAAUUGAUUGAAUAUCCUUAGUAAGUUGUUUCAAAAUAGAUUUCAAGGAUUUCACCUCACUUUUAAGAGAUUUAGAGGAGUGAGAAGACAUGACUAAAACUUUGUGUGUAGAAGUAUUUUACCUUGAGAAAAAUUUAGGGAAGUCAAAGAAGGUAGUCUUCCAGGUAAGGGAGGUGAGUCACAAAGGACUACUUAAGUACCAAGCCUUUGCCUUAGCCAAAAACUAUCCCUCAAUGUCUUCACACAAAACUUCCUCUUAGUAAACUACUUAAAACACAAUUAAGUUGAGAAAUCAAAACUUUUUUUUUUCAAUGCAAGAAAACAAAUGUAUGCUAACUAAUCAACAAAGCUAGACGGUUUGACACAAACUUAACAAAAUAAUCAUGCAAAGCGUCACUAACUAAGCAAAAGAAAAGGCAAUUACAAACAAUUAACAAUUGCCAAUUAAGAAUUCUAUACUAGUCGGCCCUCGGUGAGGCUUCUUGGACACUUUGAGCCCUUGAAGACACACUCACCGUCUAAAUCGUAAUUAAGAGGUAAUUAACACAAAUUAAGUUGCAAGGAAAAUAAGAAAACUCCCUUUGUUGAUCCUUUUUUUGCUAAAUGCACUUUCUUGUUGUCUUUGCUUGUUGGCCCUCCAAGUGUUUGUAGUGUUUUUCAAGAAAGCUUGUUUCGGCCUUGGCUUUGUUUUCCCUUAUAAUGAAGGUUUUAAUUCUCCAAUUCCAGCACCUAUCAAAAGACUAGACCUUACCCAAGUCAAGUUUCCAUUCAAUUAAGCACCAAAGGAGAAAUAAAUUCCAGCACCAAAUUAGAGGUCAAAGAACAAAAGCAAGAAACAAUUUUAAUUGAAUAAAACAGUACCACCAAAAGGAGUUAGAUUAUGACAACUAGAAAGAGGUCCAAGAAAUAUUAAGCAAGCAAAUAAAAGGUACCAAAAUAAAGGUAGGCACACAAAAGAAUCCUAAGAAUGGCACUAGAAUUAGAUGACCAAAUAAAAAAAACAGCACCAUUGGAAAAUGUUGUGGGCCAGAAACGUGUUUUUCCCCAAUUUAUGCUGAGCUUUGUUUUUAAGAUAUGAUUCUUAAAUUUGAUAUGCAAGAUAAUCAGAUUCUAGGCUAAAAUCUGGCUUUGGAAUCACUCAAAACGCAUGCACCAAUUUUUUUAAUAAAUUUUGCAAUUUUGGUGUUCCGUUACGCCAGCUGUAGCGCUUCAGAUUUGCACACUGAUUUUAAAAGAUUUAUCAUUUUUUUCUGUUGAUUCUUUUGGACUAAUUAUUUUUUUUCCUUUCUAUAACACUUCAAACUUGCAAAUUCCUGAGAAUCAAAAUUUUCCUAUGAGUGGAAAUAUUUUUCUGGAACAAAACAGCCAGCACAGAAAAAUUUGAAACAGGGGAUUCUGGAAACUAGAAACAAAAACAGCAAGAUACCAAAAUUUAAACACAAUGGAAAUUUGUGAAAUAGAAUUGUGUAGGAUCUAAACACAAUAUGAACUCAAACUAAAAUUAAAAAGGCACCAAAAGAUUCAAAGAACAGCAGAUUCAAAGCAAUUAAAGAUACCCAAAAUCAAGAAACAAUCAAGCCAAAUAAAGGACUACUAAGAAUUGUUGACAUUGUGGAUGAACAUGACUUGACAAAACAUAUAAGAUUCAGAAAUUAAGACUCAAAAGCAUAAUAUGAAUCAAAUAAGAAAGCAAUAAAGACUCAAAAGCCUAAAAGAAAAUAGCAACUCAAAGGUGUAUGGAAUCCUAUCACAAUUUGCACAAGAACUUGUUCAAGAUCAAUUGAACAAAAGUGCUUCGGUUGGAUCUUCCACAAAGCACACCAAAACAAAUUAAAAUGCAAAAAACAGCAAGACAAUUAUGGAAAAGAUAAACAACAUGAAAUAAAAGAAGAACUAGAAAUGAAAAGACCAAAAGCAACUCAUCUUGAAGAACCCAAGCUCAUGAUACCAAAUGAUGGCAUUUCAUGAAGGUCUUCUUGAAUCAUGUAAGAAAAGUGGUGCGGAAGCUAUGAAGGUGUGCAUGCUAGAUCCUCCUAAGAGUGGAAUAACUCUCUAGAAAUUGCUUCACCUUAAUCAAUUGAAUGACUAACCUUCUCAAAAUCACUUCAAUUUCAGUUCCACGUUUGAGAAGACGAAGCUGUGUGCACAAUCAUAGAGUGCAGUUUCUUCGUUCCUCUACUGAUGGCAUUUUCAUGAAGGUCUUCUUGAAUCAUGUAAGAAAAUGGUGCGGAAGCUAUGAAGGUGUGUGUGCAAGAUCCUCCUAAGAGUGGUGUUGAUCUUGAAGGUGCAUGAUAAGUAUGAUUAUAGGGAGGUUCGACCAGCCCAAGGAGAGGUGAAGGAAGUGAAGUUUAGAGCCUAGAAUUCUAGGAGAAGCAAAGCUUGGCACAAAAUGGCAGCAUAACUUUACUCACAAUAAACUUGAAAAUACAAGGUGUAGGCUCCUCCUUUUAUAGGCUAAGGAGGACCAUAAUGCAACCCUAAUGCUAGCCAAAUGAAAUGUAAAUGUGAAGCACAUGGGUGCACAUGGCACAUGGGUGUACAAAUGAGCACAUGGGGAGGGGUGUGUCUAGUUUUUAUGCUCACCCGACAUGGGCUUUCUAGACCGGCCUUGGUAAAUUUAGAGGUUUUUUUAGAAACUCUAAGUUUACCUAGGUUGGUGUUUUAGGUGCCAAAAUUAAUUCUAAGAAAAUUACAAAUAAAGUUCCUAUGCUAAUUUUGACAAGAAAUUAAAGUCUACUCUACACU